AGGGCACCACCAGGAGCGGAGCCUGCGGCUUAAUUUGACUCAACACGGGAAAACUCACCCGGCCCGGACACCGUAAGGAUUGACAGACUGAGAGCUCUUUCUUAAUUCGGUGGGUGGUGGUGCAUGGCCGUUCUUAGUUGGUGGAGCGAUUUGUCUGGUUAAUUCCGAUAACGAACGAGACUCUGGCCUAUUAAAUAGACGGUAUAUCGAAAAGUAUAUCGCACUUCUUAGAGGGACAAGCGGCGUCUAGCCGCAUGAAAUAGAGCAAUAACAGGUCUGUGAUGCCCUUAGAUGUCCGGGGCUGCACGCGCGCUACACUGAAAGAAUCAGAGUGCGCUUUGCCUAGUUCGGAAGAACUGGGUAACCCAAGUAAAUUCUUUCGUGCUUGGGAUAGGGAAUUGCAAUUAUUUCCCUUAAACGAGGAAUUCCCAGUAAAUGCGGGUCAUAAGCUCGCGUUGAUUACGUCCCUGCCCUUUGUACACACCGCCCGUCGCUACUACCGAUUGGAUGACUUAGUGA
rnacentral:rRNA from 1 species